rnacentral:rRNA from 1 species
AUUGAACGCUGGCGGCAUGCUUUACACAUGCAAGUCGAACGGCAGCACAGAGAGCUUGCUCUUGGUGGCGAGUGGCGAACGGGUGAGUAAUAUAUUGGAACGUACCGAGUAAUGGGGGAUAACUGUCCGAAAGGAUGGCUAAUACCGCAUACGCUCUGAGGAGGAAAGCUGGGGACCUUCGGGCCUGGCGUUAUUCGAGCGGCCAAUAUCUGAUUAGCUAGUUGGUGGGGUAAGAGCCUACCAAGGCGACGAUCAGUAGCGGGUCUGAGAGGAUGAUCCGCCACACUGGGACUGAGACACGGCCCAGACUCCUACGGGAGGCAGCAGUGGGGAAUUUUGGACAAUGGGCGCAAGCCUGAUCCAGCCAUGCCGCGUGUAUGAAGAAGGCCUUAGGGUUGUAAAGUACUUUUGUCAGGGAAGAAAAGCAUUAGAUUAAUAGUUUAGUGCGCUGACGGUGCCUGAAGAAUAAGCACCGGCUAACUACGUG